rnacentral:rRNA from 1 species
UUCCUCUUGAGUUUGAUUAUAGGAGGUACGCCCUGCCCUAUGCUCUGUGGAGUAAAUGGCUGCAUAAAUCUGAGUGUACGAAGGUAGCAUGAUAAUUUGCCCUUUAAAUGGGGGCCUGUAUGAAUGGGUUUACGUGAUAGUUGCUGUGUCACAAGAAUUUAAUUGAAAUUAACUUUUAGGUGAAGAGGCCUAGUUGAGUUUAAAGGACGACAAGACCCUAGAAGCUUUACUAAGGGUGAGUUACAAGGUAAGUUAUUCCAGUUUUGUUGGGGCAACAUAGUUAGAAAAUAUAACUUGUUUUACAUUGACUUACAAGUUAAAGCCACAGUAGUGAGUAAGAUAAGCUACUCUAGGGAUAACAGCGUAAUUUCUUUUAAUAGUACUUAUUGUAAAAGUAGUUUGCGACCUCGAUGUUGGAUUAAGGUAUCCUUAAGGUGUAUAAUUUUUAAAGGGUUGGUCUGUUCGUCCAUUAAAACCUUACA